GUUUACGGCCAUACCACCCUGAGAACGCCCGAUCUCGUCUGAUCUCCGAAGCUAAGCAGGGUCGGGCCUGGUUAGUAAUUGGAUGGAAGACAGCCUGGGAAUACCAGGUGCUGUAAGCU
rnacentral:rRNA from 1 species